CGGAGGGAGCUAGCGUUGUUCGGAAUUACUGGGCGUAAAAGCGUACGUAGGCGGUUAUUCAAGUCAGAGGUGAAAGCCUGGAGCUCAACUCCAGAACUGCCUUUGAAACUAGAUAGCUAGAAUCUUGGAGAGGUGAGUGGAAUUCCGAGUGUAGAGGUGAAAUUCGUAGAUAUUCGGAAGAACACCAGUGGCGAAGGCGACUCACUGGACAAGUAUUGACGCUGAGGUACGAAAGCGUGGGGAGCAAACAGGAUU
rnacentral:rRNA from 1 species